rnacentral:rRNA from 1 species
UACGAAGGGGGCUAGCGUUGUUCGGAAUUACUGGGCGUAAAGCGCACGUAGGCGGAUAUUUAAGUCAGGGGUGAAAUCCCGGGGCUCAACCCCGGAACUGCCUUUGAUACUGGGUAUCUCGAGUCCGAGAGAGGUGAGUGGAAUUCCGAGUGUAGAGGUGAAAUUCGUAGAUAUUCGGAAGAACACCAGUGGCGAAGGCGGCUCACUGGACUGGUAUUGACGCUGAGGUGCGAAAGCGUGGGGAGCAAACAGG